UAAUCUGCUAAAAAAAUACUAUAAAAUCAUUUGUUUUGUUUUGGAUUUUUUUUUUUAUUUUUAUUUUUUUAGGUCAUCAAUGAAAUUGGACAAGUGUACUGUUUGUCUAAAAAGAUGAGAAGAAUGCUGAAAACGUUACAUCUGAAAUCUGUGCUGAAUAAAAAUAGUAAUAAUAUACAUAAAAAUGAAUGAAUUCGGCAACAUCAGCAUGACGUUUCCAAAACAAAGUCAGGGACCACACAUUUAUUAAAUAUUUGAAAGUACAGUUGAAAUAAUACUAUAAGACAAUAAUGGUAGUAUUGUGCAUUUGGAUUUCUGAAAAAAGCUUUCAGCAGGAUUGGCCUUCAAGAGGUACUCAAGUAACUAGAGAGAAGAACCUUCAGUAGAUCAGUUGCCUAUAAAAAUGAUUACGUUCCAUAGUAGAAGACAGGUACUGAUAAGGUCCCAAGAAAUCUGUGUUGGCGUUUGUGCUAGUCAGAAAGUCAUUUGAAAAAAUACUGUUUGCUAGUAAGAGAUCUACAUGGGUAUGAGUAAGGAGCUGAGUGAGACCUUACAGGUCUGGAUUAAAAGGAGUAUAGGGAAAGAUGGUAAAAUAUAGGGGGACAAUCACUUUCCUGCUCAUUCUGAGUAUGCUGUUUCUAAUACAAGCCAGGAUGCCAUUGGCUUUCUUGGCUGUCUGGGAACACUGCUAGCUCUUGUUCAGCCAGCUAUCAACUAACCUCUCAAGAUUCUUUUCCUCCAUACAGGUUUUCAGCCAUUCUGCUCCAAGCCUUUAGUGAUGCAUGGGAUUUUUGUAGCCAAAACGCAGGACCUGGCACUUGGUCCUGUUGAAGCUCAUACAGUUAGCCUCAGCCAAGCCAGCCAGCCUAUCCAGAUCCCUCUGAAGGGCCUUCCUACCCCCAGGCAGAUCAACAUUUCCUCCCAACUUGGCAUUAUUGCAAACACUAAAGGUUGCUAAGUGGAUGAUUUUACAGUGAACCUCUUGCUGCUGUUGGAACUGCUGCACAGGAACAGGGACAAUGUGUAACAAAUGAAGCAUUAACAGGACAACUCCUUCUGCCUUAUGUGCUAAGUCUGCUGAGCAUGCACAGAGAACCUGCGGCUUUGUAGAAACAACUGUGUUAACAGCAUAUGUGUGAAACACUUUCCUUGCACAUGGGCAAUAGACUACCUGUUGGAAGCCAAGAGCACAACUGCAAGACAACUGUUCAGUGGAGGAACAUGAAAACUCAUGCAUAGCCUGGAAGCAGAAAAUGCAAUGCACAUGGGCAGAGACAAACUGUUGCACAUGCCCAGGAUGGUUGGCGCUCAGGGCAUAGCAGCUCUACACUUGUCCCUGGGUACCUGAGACUUCUCUGAGAAGGCAGCUCAGUGCUGGCUGCUCUUGCACCUUCUUCCAGGACAGUUCCUGCAAGUGUCCUCAGAUAAAAUGGGACCAGCACCCAAGUAAGCAAUCCUGCCUUAUACAGAAGAGAAUAGAUUACUUUAUUUCUUUUUCCCACUAAUUACUAUAUAAUUGACAUAGGCAGAAAAUAUACAGAAAGUGGAAUGGAAACAAGUUGUAAUUCAUAAGUAAAGUAAACUGUAAGGGAAAUUGUGAUCAAGAACAAAUGUUUGUAACUGCCUUUGCUAGUGUAUAGUAAGAUAUUUGUUCAUAAAUUAGUUCCUGCUAAUGGACAACCAAUUAAUGGACCAAUCUAUAGCUUGUAAAAAUCUCAGCAAUCUAUUCAGCAAUUAACAGAGAUGUAUUGUAUUAAGCUGCUUUGGUUAAGUGGGAUGUCAGCAACAUUUACUCCAAAAUUAUGCAGUACCUGCAUAGAACGUUUCACAUAAUGUUGUGCUAAGAUUGCAUUAAGUCAUUUUAUAUUUUUUUUUCUCUCAUAACUGCAAAUGUAUGUGGUAAAUUAUUUCAAUUCAUUUUUCCCCAUUAACUUUUAUCUUGAGAAAAGUAAAUACAUGAUUGUUUUCUAAUUUUCCAUCCAAAUAAACAAGAGUAGCCAUGAUAUAAAUAACAGGAGCAGUUUAGCAUUUUGGUUAACACUUGGAUCAUUAAAAACGUUUGAAAAGAUA